GAGCGUACACUCUGCCUCGCUGUCUACCAUGUGCACCCUCUCUUUCAAUUCUUCUUCCAUUCUCUCUCCUCUUUUCUCAUCUCCUAUAUCUUCAUUCCCCCCCCCUCUUCUUCCCUAUUGCCACUUCUCAUUCAUUCCUCUACACAACGACAACAAACAAAUUAAGAUAACAAUUAUAUAUAUUAAAGAUUUAAAGAUGAUGAAUGUAGUUUUAGCUGCUUCUUCAGAAUGUAGUAGCGGCUGUGAGUCUGGCUGGACUCUUUACUUGGAACAUUCUAGUAGUCAUUUUUCCACUGGUGCUGGUAAAAAGACGGGUAAAAACUAUAGUAAUAACAAUAGUAAACACCCUUAUCAACAAGGUAAAAAAAGUGCUAGUCUUUUUUGUAAUGACGAUCAAGAUCAAGAUCAAGAUCAAGAUCAAGAUGAAGAUGAAGAAGAAGAUUUAUCAAUGGUUUCUGAUGCGUCUUCUGGUCCACCACAUUUUGAUCAUGAUAUUGAUGAAGAUGAAGAUGAAGAUGAGGUUUUUUGUUAUGGUGGAACAAAAAAACAAAGCGUCAAUAAUAAUAAUCAACAAUAUUUUAAGGCGCAGGAUUUUGGUCUUGAUGAUACUGCUAGCUCUCCUUUUUUCACUUCCAAUAAUAAGAUGAAUAAUGGGGAAAACAGAACUUCUUCAUUGAAAAGGAUGGUGGAUUAUUCUUCACAAGGGUUUUCUACAACUCAUUUUCAUCAGUUUUUUUUUUUUAAUUACAGGGGGAAUCUACUAAUUUAGAGGAACAUUAUGGUUUAGUUCAUGCCCCUUUCUCAACAAACCAAUAUCAACAAAACCAGUGGUCCUAGAUUGUAGAAGGAGAUGACAAAGGAAAAGGCUAAAGGUCGGAUCGUAGCGAAUAUAGAUGGUGAUCAAGAAAAGUUGUCAAAAAGAAGUAAUCAACGAAUGAAUGAAUGAAAGGGUUAUGAUGAUGGAUCUCAAAGGGAUCCGAUCUUUGAUUUUUUUUUUUUUUUUUUUUUUUUGUUUUUCAAGUAGAAAUAAAUAGUUUGAGAUGUAGUUAGGAAUCAUUUUAUUUCAACUCGACCAAUCAAGUUGAUUUAAUAUAUAGUGAUUAGAGAUUAAAAAUGUAAUUUAAUUAUGUUUAAAUUUAGUGUAUUUCGAUUGAGAUCAA